rnacentral:tRNA from 1 species
GGGGAUGUAGCUCAGUGGUAGGGCAUGUGCUUAGAAUGAGUGAGGCUCUGGGUUAGAUCCCUAGCACCCUUG